GGGUCGGUUCCCGAGCGGUCAAAGGGGGCAGACUGUAAAUCUGCUGGCUCCGCCUUCGGAGGUUCGAAUCCUCCCCGGCCCA
rnacentral:tRNA from 1 species